AAGAAAAUAUGAUGAUGCUUAUCAUAGAAAAUUCUGUCAUCAAACCAUGAUGAUCUCAAAAACAUGCACUACCAUCUGAUUUCUC
rnacentral:snoRNA from 13 species